UUUGAAAUCUUGUGUAAAGACA
rnacentral:siRNA from 1 species